rnacentral:rRNA from 1 species
UACGGAGGGGGCUAGCGUUGUUCGGAAUUACUGGGCGUAAAGCGCACGUAGGCGGCUUUGUAAGUUAGAGGUGAAAGCCCAGGGCUCAACCCUGGAAUUGCCUUUAAGACUGCAUCGCUUGAACAUCGGAGAGGUAAGUGGAAUUCCGAGUGUAGAGGUGAAAUUCGUAGAUAUUCGGAAGAACACCAGUGGCGAAGGCGACUUACUGGCCCGAUACUGACGCUGAGGCACGAAAGCGUGGGGAGCAAACAGG